GUCCAGACUCCUACGGGAGGCAGCAGUGGGGGAUAUUGCACAAUGGGGGAAACCCUGAUGCAGCGACGCCGCGUGUGGGAAGGCGGUCCUCUGGAUUGUAAACCACUGUCCCCAGGGACGAAGAUGACGGUACCUGGGGAGGAAGCUCCGGCUAACUAUGUGCCAGCAGCCGCGGUAAUACGUAGGGGGCAAGCGUUAUCCGGAUUUACUGGGUGUAAAGGGAGCGUAGACGGUGAGACAAGUCUGAAGUGAAAGCCCGGGGCUCAACCCCGGGACUGCUUUGGAAACUGCCUGACUGGAGUGCUGGAGAGGCAAGCGGAAUUCCUAGUGUAGCGGUGAAAUGCGUAGAUAUUAGGAAGAACACCAGUGGCGAAGGCGGCUUGCUGGACUGUAACCGACGUUGAGGCUCGAAAGCGUGGGGAGCAAACAGGAUUAGAUACCCGGGUACU
rnacentral:rRNA from 1 species